rnacentral:rRNA from 1 species
CAGCAGUGGGGGAAUUUUCCGCAAUGGGCGCAAGCCUGAUCGCAGCUGACCGCGUGAGUGAAGAAGGCCUUUGGGUUGUAAAGCACUUUCCGCGGGGAGGAAAGGGAUGAAAGUUAAUUACGUUUUCUUAGCGUGUACCUGAUGAAGAAGCACCAGCAAACUGUUAACUACUCAG